rnacentral:rRNA from 1 species
UGGAUCCAGACUUUGAUCAUGGCUCAGGAUGAACGCUAGCUACAGGCUUAACACAUGCAAGUCGAGGGGCAGCAUAUCGGUAGCUUGCUACUGGUGAUGGCGACCGGCGCACGGGUGAGUAACGCGUAUCCAACCUUCCCAUGACUGGGGAAUAACCUUGCGAAAGUAAGACUAAUACCCCAUGGUUUCCGAGGCGGACAUCCAAUUUGGAAUAAAGAUUCAUCGGCCAUGGAUGGGGAUGCGUCUGAUUAGCUUGUUGGCGGGGUAACGGCCCACCAAACCGACGAUGGAUAGGGGUUCUGAGAGGAAGGUCCCCCACAUUGGUACUGAGACACGGACCAAACUCCUACGGGAGGCAGCAGUGAGGAAUAUUGGUCAAUGGCCGAGAGGCUGAACCAGCCAAGUCGCGUGAAGGAUGAAGGAUCUAUGGUUUGUAAACUUCUUUCAUACGGGAAUAAAGUGAGCCACGUGUGGCUUUUUGUAUGUACCGUAUGAAUAAGCAUCGGCUAACUCCGUGCCAGCAGCCGCGGUAAUACGGAGGAUGCGAGCGUUAUCCGGAUUUAUUGGGUUUAAAGGGUGCGUAGGUGGUCUUUUAAGUCAGCGGUGAAAGUUUGUGGCUCAACCAUAAAAUUGCCAUUGAAACUGGGAGACUUGAGUAUGUUUGAGGUAGGCGGAAUGCGUGGUGUAGCGGUGAGAUGCAUAGAUAUCACGCAGAACUCCGAUUGCGAAGGCAGCUUGCCAAGCCAUAACUGACACUGAAGCACGAAAGCGUGGGUAUCAAACAGGAUUAGAUACCCUGGUAGUCCACGCAGUAAACGAUGAUUACUAGGAGUUUGCGAUAUAAUGUAAGCUCUACAGCGAAAGCGUUAAGUAAUCCACCUGGGGAGUACGCCGGCAACGGUGCAACUCAAAUGAAUUGACGGA